GCCGCGCGCAGGGCAGGGCAGGGCAGGGCAGGGCAGGAGACGCUGCAGGACGCUCUGGUGCAAGCGUGUUCUUUACCGUCUUGAGGUCUACACCUCCCACCGUGCGCUUCGCCUCUCCACCCCCACCCGGGCUCCCACACGUGCGUCUCCCUCGCUCGCCCAAGUCUUCCCGUCUGAUUCCCACCGACAUCCCCUCGUGGUCCGGGCAUAGUCAUGGACGCCCUGACCCACGUGAGCCGGGCCCGUAUCAGUUUCAAAGAUCGCUGUUGGGGUGGAAGCCACUGGAACUGAAAUGGCCUGCCUGUUAAAUGCAGCCUUGGAACGGAAACUUUCCCUCGGAGCUGAAGAGUCGUGGAAUAUUCAUAGGAAUGUAAUCUGAGCCCAAGAUUUCAAGGCGGUGUCAAAACUGUGUUCCAAAUCCCAUUUGCUGUUUGUGAAGCUGGCUCCUCGGGGGCUAGCUGGAGGAUCAGGGCCGCUGUGGCAAUAGGCUGUUUAAAGUGACCCAUCUGAAUAUGUUUGGAACCUGCAAAGUAAUAAUGGACGUGCUGCUCGCCUUCAUAACCUGGUAAGGCAAGGGUCCGGCCAGCGGCCACUGCAGGCAGACCAGCUGAGUAAUGGGUGCAGAGCGAGGGCAUGGGUGCGUUUUGCUGGAGGAGGGUCAGGGAGGGACACCUGUGGAGAAGGAGAACGGGGUCCUUACUGAGAGCUGUGCGGCUUUGGGAAGGUCACCGGAAGUAGAGGGGGUCAGCACCAACCUGGGGCGCCAGCUGGAGAGAGAAGGCGGCAAUACGGGCCUGGAGCCUGCAGGAUGCGGAUGGCCGGAAGU